UACGUAGGGGGCGAGCGUCGUCCGGAGUUACUGGGCGUAAAGCGCACGCAGGCGGUCUGCUAAGUUUGGAGUGACAGUUGGUGGCUUAACUGCCAAAGUGCUUCGAAAACUGACAGACUUGAGGGCUUCAGAGGGACACGGAAUUCCGGGUGGAGUGGUGAAAUGCGUAGAGAUCCGGAGGAACACCAAAGGCGAAGGCAGUGUCCUGGGGAGUACCUGACGCUCGAGGUGCGAAAGCCAGGGGAGCGAACGGG
rnacentral:rRNA from 1 species